GUGGCAGUGCGACAGGUGACACCGAGCUACCGCAGCAGAAGAGUCGAAGAGCAGAGGAGCGACAGACAGCAGCCGGCAACGCAGCAGCAGAGCAACGUGACGACAUGAGGCUGACCACGGUGUUUCUACUCGUCGCUCUGGUGAUGGCGGCGUGCCUCACUCAAAUGGCGUACGGCAACCACGAGAAGAGCGGGGGCGGCGGCGGCGGCCACGACCACGGCAAGGGCCACAGCGACGGCGACGGCCACGGCCACGACGGCCGCUGACGUCACAGCCGGCGGCGGGCGGCGAGCGGCGGGGGCACACCUGCUGGUCACCCCGCGACGCGGCCGCGUCUACACUCCUGCACCUACUUUAUUCUUCGCUGUUACACUUGUACGUUUCUUCCAUGUGCAACAAUAUUACACUGUAAUAAAAUGAAUUCCUCCAAAA